CCUACGGGGUGCUGCAGUGGGGAAUAUUGCACAAUGGGGGAAACCCUGAUGCAGCGACGCCGCGUGAGUGAAGAAGUAUUUCGGUAUGUAAAGCUCUAUCAGCAGGGAAGAAACCCACCCUCCGGGGUGGCUGACGGUACCUGACUAAGAAGCCCCGGCUAACUACGUGCCAGCAGCCGCGGUAAUACGUAGGGGGCAAGCGUUAUCCGGAUUUACUGGGUGUAAAGGGAGCGUAGGUGGCAAGGCAAGUCAGAUGUGAAAACCCGGGGCCCAACCCCGGGAGUGCAUUUGAAACUGUCUGGAUAGAGUGCAGGAGAGGUAAGUGGAAGUCCUAGUGUAGCGGUGAAAUGCAUAGAUAUUAGGAGGAACACCAGUGGCGAAGGCGGCUUACUGGACUGUAACUGACACUGAGGCUCGAAAGCGUGGGGAGCAAACAGGAUUAGAUACCCGGGUAGUC
rnacentral:rRNA from 1 species